UCGCACUAGUAGAGUUUGAUCAUGGCUCAGAUUGAACGCUGGCGGCAUGCCUUACACAUGCAAGUCGAACGGUAACAGGUUAAGCUGACGAGCGGCGAACGGGUGAGUAAUAUAUCGGAACGUGCCCAGUAGUGGGGGAUAGCCCGGCGAAAGCCGGAUUAAUACCGCAUACGACCUACGGGUGAAAGGGGGGAUCGGCAAGACCUCUCAGCUACUUGGAGCGGCCGAUGAUCAGAUUCAGCUAGUUGGUGGGGCUAAAAGUCGUCACCAAGGGCAGACGACUCUGUAGCUGGUCUGAGAGGACGACCAGCCACACUGGGACUGAGACACGGCCCAGACUCCUACGGGAGGCAGCAGUGGGGAAUUUUGGACAAUGGACGCAAGUCUGAUCCAGCCAUGCCGCGUGCGGGAAGAAGGCCUUCGGGUUGUAAACCGCUUUUGUCAGGGAAGAAAAGCUCCGAACUAAUAAUUUGGGGUGAUGACGGUACCUGAAGAUAAGCAACCGGCUAACUACGUGCCAGCCGCCGCGGUAAU
rnacentral:rRNA from 1 species